AAUCAAGCGCGAAAAGGGCGUUUGGUGGAUGCCUUGGCAGUAAGAGGCGAUGAAAGACGUGAUACUCUGCGAUAAGCCAUGGGGAGCUGAGAAUAAGCUUUGAUCCAUGGAUUUCUGAAUGGGGCAACCCACCUGAUACUUUGUUAUAAUCACCGCAAGGUGGCCUAUAGCGGGGUAAACCAGGUAUUUGUAGACUGAAUACAUAGGUUUACAAAAGCAAACCCGGGGAACUGAAACAUCUAAGUACCCGGAGGAAAGGAAAUCAACAGAUACUCCCCUAGUAGCGGCGAGCGAACGGGGACCAGCCGAGCCAUGAGUGUGAUCAGAACGUGUUGGGAAGCACGACCAGAGUGGGUGACAGUCCCGUAUGAGAAGCAUGAUUGGACGUAUUAAGUAGGGCGGAACACGUGAAAUUCUGUCUGAACAUCGGAGGACCACCUUCGAAGGCUAAGUACUCCUUACUGACCGAUAGCGAACCAGUACCGUGAGGGAAAGGUGAAAAGCACCCCGACGAGGGGAGUGAAACAGUACCUGAAACCGAACGCCUACAAUCAGUUGGAGGCUCCUUGAGGGCUGACAGCGUACCUUUUGUAUAAUGGGUCAUCGACUUAGUGUCACAAGCAAGCUUAAGCCGUUAGGUGUAGGCGCAGCGAAAGCGAGUCUGAAUAGGGCGAUUGAGUUUGUGGCAUUAGACCCGAAACCGAGUGAUCUAGGCAUGUCCAGGAUGAAGGUUAGGUAACACUAACUGGAGGUCCGAACCCACACCUGUUGAAAAAGGUCGGGAUGAGGUGUGCCUAGGGGUGAAAGGCCAAUCAAACUCGGAGAUAGCUGGUUCUCUGCGAAAUCUAUUUAGGUAGAGCGUCGUCCGAAUACCCUCGGGGGUAGAGCACUGGAUGGGUAAUGGGGCCUUACCGGCUUACUGAUCCUAACCAAACUCCGAAUACCGAGGAGUACUAGACGGCAGACACACAGCGGGUGCUAACGUCCGUUGUGAAGAGGGAAACAACCCUGACCUACGACUAAGGCCCCUAAUUCAUGGCUAAGUGGGAAAGCAGGUGGGACGGCCAAAACAACCAGGAGGUUGGCUUAGAAGCAGCCAUCCUUUAAAGAUAGCGUAACAGCUCACUGGUCUAAAUAAGCUGUCCUGCGGCGAAGAUGUAACGGGGCUCAAGCCAUGAGCCGAAGUCUAGGGUGCACUUUAUGUGCGCGGUAGCAGAGCGUAGUGUGACAUAGUUUCCUGUCUCCUUAACUGGUUCGCCAGUAUUGGAGACGCGAAGCUUUCGAUGAAGCCCGGGCGUGAGCCAUCGGGUGGAGAGAUCACUAGUGAGAAUGAUGACAUGAGUAGCGACAAAGGGAGUGAGAGACUCCCUCGCCGAAAGUCCAAGGGUUCCUGCUUAAAGCUAAUCUGAGCAGGGUAAGCCGACCCCUAAGGCGAGGCCGAAAGGCGUAGUCGAUGGGAAC
rnacentral:rRNA from 1 species